ensembl:snRNA U1 U1 spliceosomal RNA
AUACUUACCUGGCAGGGGAGACACCAUGAUCAAGAAGGCGGUUCACCCAGGGCGAGGCUCGUCCAUUGCACUCCGGCUGUGCUGACCCCUGCGAAUCCCCAAAUGUGGAAAUCUCAACUGCAUAAUUUAUGGUAGUGGAGGACUGCAUUUGCGCUCUCCCCUG